rnacentral:rRNA from 1 species
AGCAGUCGCCGCGGUAAUACGUAGGUGGCAAGCGUUGUCCGGAAUUAUUGGGCGUAAAGGGCUCGCAGGCGGUUUCUUAAGUCUGAUGUGAAAGCCCCCGGCUCAACCGGGGAGGGUCAUUGGAAACUGGGAAACUUGAGUGCAGAAGAGGAGAGUGGAAUUCCACGUGUAGCGGUGAAAUGCGUAGAGAUGUGGAGGAACACCAGUGGCGAAGGCGACUCUCUGGUCUGUAACUGACGCUGAGGAGCGAAAGCGUGGGGAGCGAACAGGAUUAGAGACCCCCGUAGUCCCUGUCUCUUAUAC